GCAAUAGAGAUAGCUCAGUUGGUAGAGCACGAGGCUCUUAAUUUCAGGAUUGUGGGUUCGAGCCCCAUGUUGGGCA